rnacentral:rRNA from 1 species
GGUUAAGCGACUAAGCGUACACGGUGGAUGCCCUGGCAGUCAGAGGCGAUGAAGGACGUGCUAAUCUGCGAUAAGCGUCGGUAAGGUGAUAUGAACCGUUAUAACCGGCGAUUUCCGAAUGGGGAAACCCAGUGUGUUUCGACACACUAUCAUUAACUGAAUCCAUAGGUUAAUGAGGCGAACCGGGGGAACUGAAACAUCUAAGUACCCCGAGGAAAAGAAAUCAACCGAGAUUCCCCCAGUAGCGGCGAGCGAACGGGGAGCAGCCCAGAGCCUGAAUCAGUGUGUGUGUUAGUGGAAGCGUCUGGAAAGGCGCGCGAUACAGGGUGACAGCCCCGUACACAAAAAUGCACAUGCUGUGAGCUCGAUGAGUAGGGCGGGACACGUGGUAUCCUGUCUGAAUAUGGGGGGACCAUCCUCCAAGGCUAAAUACUCCUGACUGACCGAUAGUGAACCAGUACCGUGAGGGAAAGGCGAAAAGAACCCCGGCGAGGGGAGUGAAAAAGAACCUGAAACCGUGUACGUACAAGCAGUGGGAGCACGCUUAGGCGUGUGACUGCGUACCUUUUGUAUAAUGGGUCAGCGACUUAUAUUCUGUAGCAAGGUUAACCGAAUAGGGGAGCCGAAGGGAAACCGAGUCUUAACUGGGCGUUAAGUUGCAGGGUAUAGACCCGAAACCCGGUGAUCUAGCCAUGGGCAGGUUGAAGGUUGGGUAACACUAACUGGAGGACCGAACCGACUAAUGUUGAAAAAUUAGCGGAUGACUUGUGGCUGGGGGUGAAAGGCCAAUCAAACCGGGAGAUAGCUGGUUCUCCCCGAAAGCUAUUUAGGUAGCGCCUCGUGAAUUCAUCUCCGGGGGUAGAGCACUGUUUCGGCAAGGGGGUCAUCCCGACUUACCAACCCGAUGCAAACUGCGAAUACCGGAGAAUGUUAUCACGGGAGACACACGGCGGGUGCUAACGUCCGUCGUGAAGAGGGAAACAACCCAGACCGCCAGCUAAGGUCCCAAAGUCAUGGUUAAGUGGGAAACGAUGUGGGAAGGCCCAGACAGCCAGGAUGUUGGCUUAGAAGCAGCCAUCAUUUAAAGAAAGCGUAAUAGCUCACUGGUCGAGUCGGCCUGCGCGGAAGAUGUAACGGGGCUAAACCAUGCACCGAAGCUGCGGCAGCGACGCUUAUGCGUUGUUGGGUAGGGGAGCGUUCUGUAAGCCUGUGAAGGUGUGCUGUGAGGCAUGCUGGAGGUAUCAGAAGUGCGAAUGCUGACAUAAGUAACGAUAAAGCGGGUGAAAAGCCCGCUCGCCGGAAGACCAAGGGUUCCUGUCCAACGUUAAUCGGGGCAGGGUGAGUCGACCCCUAAGGCGAGGCCGAAAGGCGUAGUCGAUGGGAAACAGGUUAAUAUUCCUGUACUUGGUGUUACUGCGAAGGGGGGACGGAGAAGGCUAUGUUGACCGGGCGACGGUUGUCCCGGUUUAAGCGUGUAGGCUGGUUUUCCAGGCAAAUCCGGAAAAUCAAGGCUGAGGCGUGAUGACGAGGCACUACGGUGCUGAAGCAACAAAUGCCCUGCUUCCAGGAAAAGCCUCUAAGCAUCAGGUAACAUCAAAUCGUACCCCAAACCGACACAGGUGGUCAGGUAGAGAAUACCAAGGCGCUUGAGAGAACUCGGGUGAAGGAACUAGGCAAAAUGGUGCCGUAACUUCGGGAGAAGGCACGCUGAUAUGUAGGUGAAGUCCCUCGCGGAUGGAGCUGAAAUCAGUCGAAGAUACCAGCUGGCUGCAACUGUUUAUUAAAAACACAGCACUGUGCAAACACGAAAGUGGACGUAUACGGUGUGACGCCUGCCCGGUGCCGGAAGGUUAAUUGAUGGGGUCAGCGCAAGCGAAGCUCUUGAUCGAAGCCCCGGUAAACGGCGGCCGUAACUAUAACGGUCCUAAGGUAGCGAAAUUCCUUGUCGGGUAAGUUCCGACCUGCACGAAUGGCGUAAUGAUGGCCAGGCUGUCUCCACCCGAGACUCAGUGAAAUUGAACUCGCUGUGAAGAUGCAGUGUACCCGCGGCAAGACGGAAAGACCCCGUGAACCUUUACUAUAGCUUGACACUGAACAUUGAGCCUUGAUGUGUAGGAUAGGUGGGAGGCUUAGAAGUGUGGACGCCAGUCUGCAUGGAGCCGACCUUGAAAUACCACCCUUUAAUGUUUGAUGUUCUAACGUUGACCCGUAAUCCGGGUUGCGGACAGUGUCUGGUGGGUAGUUUGACUGGGGCGGUCUCCUCCUAAAGAGUAACGGAGGAGCACGAAGGUUGGCUAAUCCUGGUCGGACAUCAGGAGGUUAGUGCAAUGGCAUAAGCCAGCUUGACUGCGAGCGUGACGGCGCGAGCAGGUGCGAAAGCAGGUCAUAGUGAUCCGGUGGUUCUGAAUGGAAGGGCCAUCGCUCAACGGAUAAAAGGUACUCCGGGGAUAACAGGCUGAUACCGCCCAAGAGUUCAUAUCGACGGCGGUGUUUGGCACCUCGAUGUCGGCUCAUCACAUCCUGGGGCUGAAGUAGGUCCCAAGGGUAUGGCUGUUCGCCAUUUAAAGUGGUACGCGAGCUGGGUUUAGAACGUCGUGAGACAGUUCGGUCCCUAUCUGCCGUGGGCGCUGGAGAACUGAGGGGGGCUGCUCCUAGUACGAGAGGACCGGAGUGGACGCAUCACUGGUGUUCGGGUUGUCAUGCCAAUGGCACUGCCCGGUAGCUAAAUGCGGAAGAGAUAAGUGCUGAAAGCAUCUAAGCACGAAACUUGCCCCGAGAUGAGUUCUCCCUGAC